rnacentral:snRNA from 1 species
GGAUGUGAGGGAGAUCUGGCUGCAACGCCUCUCACCCCAUGCAUUGCCAGGGUUGAUCUGGCUGAUCUGUCCCAUUAGGUGGGUGCCCUUUCCUCCCUCACCGCUCCAUGUGUGCCUCUCCCGAAACUGUGCUCGGUCAAAAGGAUGACUUUCCUCGAUAGAAGAAGACCAUCGUCAUUCAAGCUGUGCUCCCCUGCUAGAACCUGCAAACAAGCUCCCAAGAAACAUUCAAGCACAUAAGGUGACAGAGACAGUACAUUAGUUAUUAUAGAAACUCUGAAAUCAAUGAGGGAUCAAGUAGU